GUGCACCAGGCGCGAAUUUUUCUCAAUGGGGAAACCCUGAAGGAGCGACGCCGCGUGGAGGAUGAAGGCUUUCGGGUUGUAAACUCCUGUCAUUUGAGAACAAGUGGCCGAACGUAACUACUUCGGCCUUGAUAGUAUCAGAAGAGGAAGGGACGGCUAACUCUGUGCCAGCAGCCGCGGUAAUACAGAGGUCUCAAGCGUUGUUCGGAUUCAUUGGGCGUAAACGGGUGCGUAGGUGGCGCCGUAAGUCGGGUGUGAAAUUUCGGAGCUUAACUCCGAAACUGCAUUCGAUACUGCGGUGCUUGAGGACUGGAGAGGAGACUGGAAUUUACGGUGUAGCAGUGAAACGCGU
rnacentral:rRNA from 1 species